ACCAGAAGGCAGUACCAUGGCGACUCCCCCGCCCGCACCCCUGCCACAGCCAGUCACCCACCUCAUCUUUGACAUGGACGGACUUCUUUUGGAUACUGAAUGGCUCUAUUCAGUGGUGUUUCAAGAAAUAUGUGAUCGCUAUGACAAGAAAUACAGCUGGUUAUGGGUAAGAAGGCAUUAGAGGCGGCACAGAUUAUAAUAGACGUCUUGCAGCUCCCGAUGUCCAAAGAGGAGCUAGUGGAAGAAAGCCAAACGAAGUUAAAGGAAGUGUUCCCCAUGGCUGCGCUCAUGCCAGGGGCCGAGAAACUCAUCAUCCACCUGUGGAAACACGGCAUCCCCUUUGCCCUGGCCACCAGCUCAGGGUCUGCAUCGUUUGAGAUGAAGACAAGCCAGCACAAGGAGUUCUUCAGCUUGUUUUCUCACAUCGUGCUGGGAGGCGACCCUGAAGUGCAGCAUGGCAAGCCAGACCCUGACAUCUUCCUAGCUUGUGCCAAGAGGUUCUCUCCCCCUCUUCCUAUGGAGAAGUGCCUUGUCUUUGAAGAUGCUCCCAAUGGGGUGGAGGCGGCCCUGGCAGCUGGGAUGCAGGUGGUCAUGGUUCCAGAUGGAAACUUGAGCCGAGACCUGACGACAAAGGCCACUGUGGUGCUGAAUUCCCUGCAAGACUUCCAGCCCGAGCUGUUUGGUUUGCCUCUCUAUGACUGAAAGAGAGGGCCUCACUUUGCCACCCCCCAGCCCACUCUCAUGGUCCACACUGCUGGGGAAAAGAAAAGGAAAUCAGCAACUCUCAAACCCCAGCGUGCACAGUGAUUUUAGCCUCCUGAGAUUGGUGUUUCCAUCCUGCGUUGGCUUGCCCUACUCUAGCGUAUUGAUAAAACGUGACUUGACAGUUGAAAGAAACACGGUAGAGACAGAAACAAAACCCAGAACAAAGAUGAAACUUGAAUUACCAUCUCAAAAAUCAGGCUGACGGACUAUGCGAUAAAGUGAAUGUACAUGUAUACAUCUACACAUGCACCUCUAUAUAUGCAGAUGUAUAUCAGUAAGUUAAUAUGCAUGUAGGAAAUUACAUGUGUAUGUAUGUAGAUAUAUGUGAAAUACAUACUUUUCAAAGACAAAAAUGGAACAUCAUUUCUCUUUUAUUCUAGUUUUCCUGAACACUGGGAAAUGUAAACUGUGUAUGCAUAUAAGUAUAUGCUUUAUAUAUUCAUAUGUAUGUACAUAUAUCUGUCAUCUGCAUCACUCUCCUCAGUGUUGAUGUCAGCAUACAGUGACAGCUGAUAAAGCGAGAUGGUAGUUCUGCCUGGCUUCCAGUCUGAGUGGGAAAGCCCUGCUUUUGAUGAGCACUAAGAAGUGCUUCUCCUUGUUAGCUAACAUUUAAAUUCUUUUUGUGACCUCAGAAUGUCUCUGGAUCUUUCCUCAUUGACUAACUCUGAGCCACAUCAUCCAUAGUUUAUUGUUAGUAUGAACACAACUGUAGCAUUUACCUGGUAUCUACAUCCUUAUCUACAUUGGAGAAUGCUUUCUACCUCAGAGCAAACAUUUGCCUCCUUAAAGAACACUGAUGGCCUACACUUUUUGGAUAGAAAUAGAAGUUGAUUUCAGAAAGUAUGCUUG